GGAGAGGUGACCGAGAGGCCGAAGGUAGCGGAUUGCUAAUCCGUCGUACUCCAAAAAGGUGUACCGUGGGUUCGAAUCCCACCCUCUCCG
rnacentral:tRNA from 1 species